GAGAAAUUCGAACUAAAGUUGUUGCGAUUUUCCCUUGAAAUAGAAGGUACAUGGUGAUCCUGCCAGCUCAGGGGAAACUGAACAGAGAACGCUCUUGCAAAGGAAAGAUUCUCGGCUCUAUCUGGUACAGUAUUGAAGUGUGAGCCCAUUUGGACCGGCAGCAGUUGGGAUUUGGCCUGGGUCUCAGGAGUACUGCAACCUGCAGGAAUGUAAGGAGUCCUCACCAAGGAGUGCAUAAGACGGAGUCAAAGGCUGAUUCAGCGGUCAGUGUAUCCUCUCACCGAUGCCCCUGGAUCAUCCGACACACCAUCCUAAAACUCUACAGGAGUCCAUCAACUACCACUAACUUCUAUUUUCUGAGACUACUGGAAACAUCGGGUAUUUCUGGAACCCUUCAAACUUGAGACAGCAAAAGGAAACACACUCAGCUUGAAUACAACGAUCCUGAGCAGAGGCAAAGAGCACUGGGCUUGUACUGAGCUGUACUUCCUUCUGGUUGUUCUGCCUUUCACAACUCAGAGGGCCUGGGGGACAGCUCAGAGGGAAGAGUGCCUGCUCUUUCAGCUUGAGGACCUGAGUUCAGAUCCUCAGCGUACACAUCAAAAGCUGCAUGUACACCUGCAACCCCAACGCAGAGAGGCCAGAGAUUGGAGCAGCACAGAGCCAGCUGGGGGAUGUCGAGACCCUCGGAGAAUCUCUGGGACUUGUUGGUAGCCAGACCAGUCAAAACCAGUGAGCGCCAGGUUCAAUGAGAGACCUGGUCUCAAGGAAGAAAGAAAAGAGCAACAGAAUAGAGCACUCAUUGUCUCCCUCAGUCUCCACAGGAUUUCUCUGUGUAGCCCUGGGCGUCCAAGAACUCACUUCGUAGACCAGGCUGUCCUCAACCUCACAGAGUCUAUCUCUGCCUCCCGAGUGCUGGAAUUAAAGGUGUGUGCCACCACCAUUCAGCUCAUCCAAAAGUCCACUAGCUAACCUUAACCUCUAGGUAGUGAGUAAGUGAGGGUAAUCCUUUGAGAGACUUACAUGGUUAAAUGCAAUAGACUCCGAAGAAAGCACAGAGUUGAAUUCAGUCUUUAUCACUUUCAAGUUUGAGAGUUGGGACGACUUAUUCCACGGCUAAUCCCUGGUGUCUUCUCUAAUGUAGGAUAGCUACAGGAUCAUCUUACACUGUCGUUGGAAAGAACAGAGACUCCGGAAAUAUUGUCCAGAGUGAAAUAAGAGCAUAAUAAAUAUAUUCACACCAAGUAAGAACCUCCAUGUUCUUGUAGGACAUGGAGACAGACCAUCAAUGAGUCAGUUUUCUGGUCAGUAGUACAUGGAAACGGCUCAUCUAUUUCUUACCAGAGUAUUACGUAAAAUCAAUGGCGGGGGGGAGAUAAAGAGUUAAGUCCGUCCGCUCCAGAUGUUGCUUGCUGCCUGGAGAAUGUGGCAGCAAAUUCCUUGUGUGUGUUUGCUCGCCUUUGUGAUCUUUCUCCCUAACGAGCAGCUUUGAUUCAACAACUCAGGUCGUAAAGAUCAGACACGUUUCGGUUUUAUUUGUAAGUCUCACCUGAAAAUUUCAGUUGAUUGGAGAUUAGGACCGGCAGAUGUGAGGGAGCUAGGAAAUGGCCCCUUUUCCUGUAACUCACCCUCCCUGGGGAGAGCCUGCUUUUCAAAGUAAAGACAUACUUAGGAUUCCAAACAGAAGAGGGGCAAAACCCCUUCAGAGUCACCGGUCUAGGCAAUGUUGGCAAUGGAAUACCUUUAAGGAAAAUGGACUUUUAAAAUCUGACAAGGGAAUGAAUAUAAAACUACUGAUUUUUGUGGGCUUGCUUAAAUUUCCAUAAAAUAUUUAUGAUAAGCAGUCUAAAAAGCACCAGCCAUGAUCAUCGAGUCUAUUUUUAUUUUAUUGAUCGGUUAACCUAAAUAAAAUCUUCUUAGGUGCCCACAAGGCUGACAUUUGUGCUGAUUUGGGGGUAGGGAAACAUGUGUAAUCUUUCAUAGCUAGUAACAUCAGUGAUAUGGAGCCUAUCAUUAUUUUCACGGAUGGAUCCCCAGCUUUACUUUGUGGUCCUUUAGGUUUUUCUGGGAAAGGAACCCAGAGAGACUUGGCCUCCUCAGCUCUCCCUCUUCAUUCUUUUUGCGUGGGAUAUCUGUCCUUCAUUUGUUAAGAGAAUGCCGAGACGGGACGUAAUGAAAGCCCGGCUCUCCCCGCUCUUUCAUCUUCAUACUUAUUUUCUGAAGUGCAUUCCUUCACGAAAUCGCAGUCCGCUCCGCCCUUCCUAAAAUAACAGUGUGAGGCAGUGAGGUCUACCUCCACCCUCUCCUGUGACCCUAAUUGCAUGUAAGCCGGCUCUUGGAUGAUCUGAAAAGUCAGUGCUGUCAGAGCUGGCUACAUAAUUUAUAGGGGCCAGUGCAAAAUGAGAAUGCGUGACCCCCUUGUUCCAAACAUGGCGGCGGUGGGGGGGUAGUAUGGUUCGGAGAGUAAAAAUAAAAAGCUUUCUCUCUCUUCCCUCCCUUGUCAUACCAUUUUUAUUUGUCCCUUUGUCACUAAGAGUGAAAAUAGAAACUGAAUUUUAAGUUACUAGCAGAGAUUUUACUAUUCAUCUUUGUACUG